rnacentral:rRNA from 1 species
AGUGAACGCUGGCGGCGUGCCUAAUACAUGCAAGUCGAACGGAGAUUAAGUAGCUUGCUAUUUAAUCUUAGUGGCGCUCGGGUGAGUAAUAUAUAGCUAACUUGCCCAUUACUAAGGGACAACAGUUGGAAACGACUGCUAAUACCUUAUACUCCGUAUCUAUAUAAGUAGAUACGGGAAAGUUUUUCGGUAAUGGAUAGGGCUAUAUCGUAUCAGCUAGUUGGUAAGGUAAUGGCUUACCAAGGCUAUGACGCGUAACUGGUCUGAGAGGAUGAUCAGUCACACUGGAACUGAGACACGGUCCAGACUCCUACGGGAGGCAGCAGUAGGGAAUAUUGCUCAAUGGGGGAAACCCUGAAGCAGCAACGCCGCGUGGAGGAUGACACUUUUCGGAGCGUAAACUCCUUUUCUUGGGAAAGAAUUAUGACGGUACCCAAGGAAUAAGCACCGGCUAACUCCGU